rnacentral:rRNA from 1 species
AGUGAACGCUGGCGGUAGGCCUAACACAUGCAAGUCGAACGGCAGCACAGUAAGAGCUUGCUCUUACGGGUGGCGAGUGGCGGACGGGUGAGGAAUACAUCGGAGUCUACUUUUUCGUGGGGGAUAACGUAGGGAAACUUACGCUAAUACCGCAUACGACCUACGGGUGAAAGCAGGGGAUCUUCGGACCUUGCGCGAUUGAAUGAGCCGAUGUCGGAUUAGCUAGUUGGCGGGGUAAAGGCCCACCAAGGCGACGAUCCGUAGCUGGUCUGAGAGGAUGAUCAGCCACACUGGAACUGAGACACGGUCCAGACUCCUACGGGAGGCAGCAGUGGGGAAUGUUGGACAAUGGGCGCAAGCCUGAUCCAGCCAGACCGCGUGGGAGAAGAAGGCCUUCGGUUUGUAAAGCCCUUUUGUUGGGAAAGAAAAGCAGCAGGUUAAUACCACGCUGUUCUGACGGUACCCAAAGAAUAAGCACCGGCUAACUUCGUG